AUUGAACGCUGGCGGCAUGCCUUACACAUGCAAGUCGAACGGUAACAGGUCUUCGGAUGCCGACGAGUGGCGAACGGGUGAGUAAUACAUCGGAACGUGCCCGAUCGUGGGGGAUAACGAAGUGAAAGCUUUGCUAAUACCGCAGAAGAUCUAAGGAUGAAAGCAGGGGAACGCAAGGCCUUGCGCGAACGGAGCGGCCGAUGGCAGAUUAGGGAGUUGGUGGGAUGAAGGCUUACCAAGCCGACGAUCUGUAGCUGGUCUGAGAGGACGACCAGCCACACUGGGACUGAGACACGGCCCAGACUCCUACGGGAGGCAGCAGUGGGGAAUUUUGGACAAUGGGCGAAAGCCUGAUCCAGCCAUGCCGCGUGCAGGAUGAAGGCCUUCGGGUUGUAAACUGCUUUUGUACGGAACGAAAAGACUCUUUCUAAUAAAGAGGGUCCAUGACGGUACCGUAAGAAUAAGCACCGGCUAACUACGUGCCAGCAGCCGCAGUAA
rnacentral:rRNA from 1 species